rnacentral:tRNA from 1 species
UCAGUAGCUGAGUGGUUAACGCGAUGUCGUUUGAAGCGGAAGGUACUGGGUUCGAGUCCCAGAGUGA